GGUGGUUCUCAGGUGAUGCACCCCAGAAUCGGGCUCCCUCCUCUCUGUUUCUGGGUGCGUCACCUGAGAAGCGCA
rfam:Myotis brandtii contig212514, whole genome shotgun sequence.